GCGGGAUGAGCUCAAAUUUUGAAUCUGGCAGUCUUGCGGCUGUCCGAGUUGUAAUCUAGAGAAGCGUCUUCCGCGCUGGACCGUGUACAAGUCUCCUGGAAGGGAGCGUCAUAGAGGGUGAGAAUCCCGUCUUUGACACGGACUACCAGUGCUAUGUGAUGCGCUCUCGACGAGUCGAGUUGUUUGGGAAUGCAGCUCAAAAUGGGUGGUAAAUUCCAUCUAAAGCUAAAUACAGGCGAGAGACCGAUAGCGAACAAGUACCGUGAGGGAAAGAUGAAAAGAACUUUGGAAAGAGAGUUAAACAGUACGUGAAAUUGCUGAAAGGGAAACGCUUGAUGUCAGUCACGUCCGUCAGGGAUCAACCUUGCUUCGUUGCUUGGUGUACUUCCUGGUGGAUGGGUCAGCAUCAGUUUCGGUCGCUGUACAAGGGCGAAGGGAACGUGGCACUCUUAGGAGUGUGUUAUAGCCUUUCGUCAGAUGCAGUGGUGGGGACUGAGGAACUCAGCACGAUUCAUUUCGUGCUUAGGAUGCUGGCAUAAUGGCCUUAAGCGACCCGUCUUGAAACACGGACCAAGGAGUCUAACAUGCCUGCGAGUGUUUGGGUGAUAAACCCAAGCGCGCAAUGAAAGUGAAAGUUGAGACCUCUGUCGUGGAGGGCAUCGACGCCCGGACCUGAGUCUUUGACAAGGAUCUGCGGUA
rnacentral:rRNA from 1 species